GGGGCGGUGGCCCAGAUGGUGACCGGUAAUGGCUGCCGCGGCGAGCUCCUCUCCAUCAACCUGGGAUUCGGGCUCGGAGCCACCUUCGGCAUCUAUGUCACGGGGGGAAUCUCUGCACCAUGGACAGUUUGCAGCGGAAUCACUUAACAACUUCCUGACAAAAUUUGACCAUUACGAGGCCUGGAGACGGGCGACCCAAAACGUUGGGGAGGGGAGAGAAAGAGAGAGAACGAUCUGAAGAGAUUUAAGGCGGCAUACCGGCUCUCUGGGCCCGGGCAGCUGAAGGCAGAGCAGCUCAAGGCGGAGAGAGGGAUCUUUGGAAGGAUUGUGAGACCUCUGGAAGGUGAUGGGUUGGAAGGGUUUUCAGCGGCUGUUACAAGCCUUGGACACGGAGAUGUCGGGAGGUCCAGGAAUGAAGAUUGGCGGAACGAUUAUUCACAGCCGGGAUCAGCUCAGAAGAGUCCAAAUGCGGCGGUGGCUGCAGCGUGCACUGUCUACAAAGUGUACCUCCCCUCCCGAGCCCCCCACCUCUAACGCCAAAGGAAGCAGCCCCACCCUCAGGCUUGCCA